rnacentral:rRNA from 1 species
AGAGUUUGAUCCUGGCUCAGAACGAACGCUGGCGGCGUGCCUAACACAUGCAAGUCGAGCGCGAAUGGAGCAAUCCUAGUAGAGCGGCGCACGGGUGCGUAACACGUGGAUAAUCUGCCUGGGUGUCUGGGAUAACCAGUCGAAAGACUGGCUAAUACCGGAUGAGCCCCCGGGAGCUUCGGCUCCAGAGGGAAAAGGUGGCCUCUGUAAACAAGCUAUCACAUCCAGAUGAGUCCGCGGCCCAUCAGCUAGUUGGCGGGGUAAUGGCCCACCAAGGCGACGACGGGUAGCUGGUCUGAGAGGACGAUCAGCCACACUGGAACUGAGACACGGUCCAGACACCUACGGGUGGCAGCAGUUUCGAAUCAUUCACAAUGGGCGAAAGCCUGAUGGUGCGACGCCGCGUGAGGGAUGAAGGUCUUCGGAUUGUAAACCUCUGUCACUGGGGAGAAAACGCUUUGAGUUAAUAGUUCAAAGCCUGAUUUAACCCGGAGAGGAAGCAGUGGCUAACUCUGUGCCAGCAGCCGCGGUAAUACAGAGACUGCAAGCGUUAUUCGGAUUCACUGGGCGUAAAGGGUGCGCAGGCGGCCGUGUGUGUAAGGUGUGAAAUCCCGGGGCUCAACCCCGGAACUGCGCCUUAAACUACAUGGCUAGAGUAUUGGAGAGGGUAGUGGAAUUCACGGUGUAGCAGUGAAAUGCGUAGAUAUCGUGAGGAACACCAGAGGCGAAGGCGACUACCUGGACAAUUACUGACGCUAAGGCGUGAAAGCGUGGGGAGCAAACAGGAUUAGAUACCCUGGUAGUCCACGCCCUAAACGAUGAACACUAGUCGUCGGAGUACUAGUUACUUCGGUGAUGCACUUAACAGAUUAAGUGUUCCGCCUGGGGAGUACGGUCGCAAGAUUAAAACUCAAAGGAAUAGACGGGGACCCGCACAAGUGGUGGAGCAUGUGGUUUAAUUCGAAGAUACGCGAAAAACCUUACCUAGCCUUGACAUUGAUAGAACCCGCUAGAGAUAGUGGGGUGCCCUUCGGGGAACUUGAAAACAGGUGCUGCACGGCUGUCGUCAGCUCGUGUCGUGAGAUGUUGGGUUAAGUCCAGCAACGAGCGCAACCCUCGCCCUUAGUUGCCAUCAGGUAAUGCUGGGAACUCUAAGGGGACUGCCUAGUUUAACUAGGAGGAAGGUGGGGAUGACGUCAAAUCAUCAUGGCCCUUACGUCCAGGGCAAGACACGUGCUACAAUGGCCGGUACAAUGGGAUGCGAGAUUGCGAAAUUAAGCUAAUCCCACAAAACCGGUCUCAGUUCGGAUUGGAGUCUGCAAUUCGACUCCAUGAAGCUGGAAUCGCUAGUAAUCGUGGAUCAGCAUGCCACGGUGAAUACGUUCCCGGGCCUUGUACACACCGCCCGUCAAGCCAUGAAAGAUGGUAGUACCCGAAGUCGUCCACCUAACCGCAAGGAAGGUGCCGCCUAAGGUAAGACCAUUGAUUGGGGCUAAGUCGUAACAAGGUAUCC